UACGUAGGGCGCAAGCGUUGUCCGGAUUUAUUGGGCGUAAAGAGCUCGUAGGCCGUUCGGUAAGUCAGAUGUGAAAACUCCAGGCUCAACUUGGAGAGGCCAUCUGAUACUGCUGUGACUAGAGUCCGGUAGGGGAGCACGGAAUUCCUGGUGUAGCGGUGAAAUGCGCAGAUAUCAGGAGGAACACCAGCGGCGAAGGCGGUGCUCUGGGCCGGAACUGACGCUGAGGAGCGAAAGCGUGGGUAGCGAACAGG
rnacentral:rRNA from 1 species